rnacentral:rRNA from 1 species
UCAGAGGCGAUGAAGGGCGUGCUAAUCUGCGAUAAGCGCCGGUAAGGUGAUAUGAACCGUUAUAACCGGCGAUACCCGAAUGGGGAAACCCAGUGUGAUUCGUCACACUAUCAUUAACUGAAUCCAUAGGUUAAUGAGGCGAACCGGGGGAACUGAAACAUCUAAGUACCCCGAGGAAAAGAAAUCAACCGAGAUUCCCCCAGUAGCGGCGAGCGAACGGGGAGGAGCCCAGAGCCUGAAUCAGCAUGUGUGUUAGUGGAAGCGUCUGGAAAGGCGCGCGAUACAGGGUGACAGCCCCGUACACAAAAGCGCAUGUGCUGUGAGCUCGAUGAGUAGGGCGGGACACGUGGUAUCCUGUCUGAAUAUGGGGGGACCAUCCUCCAAGGCUAAAUACUCCUGACUGACCGAUAGUGAACCAGUACCGUGAGGGAAAGGCGAAAAGAACCCCGGCGAGGGGAGUGAAAAAGAACCUGAAACCGUGUACGUACAAGCAGUGGGAGCACAGGUUUACCUGUGUGACUGCGUACCUUUUGUAUAAUGGGUCAGCGACUUAUAUUCUGUAGCAAGGUUAACCGAAUAGGGGAGCCGGAGGGAAACCGAGUCUUAAUUGGGCGUUAAGUUGCAGGGUAUAGACCCGAAACCCGGUGAUCUAGCCAUGGGCAGGUUGAAGGUUGGGUAACACUAACUGGAGGACCGAACCGACUAAUGUUGAAAAAUUAGCGGAUGACCUGUGGCUGGGGGUGAAAGGCCAAUCAAACCGGGAGAUAGCUGGUUCUCCCCGAAAGCUAUUUAGGUAGCGCCUCGUGAAUUCAUCUCCGGGGGUAGAGCACUGUUUCGGCUAGGGGGCCAUCCCGGCUUACCAACCCGAUGCAAACUGCGAAUACCGGAGAAUGUUAUCACGGGAGACACACGGCGGGUGCUAACGUCCGUCGUGAAGAGGGAAACAACCCAGACCGCCAGCUAAGGUCCCAAAGUCAUGGUUAAGUGGGAAACGAUGUGGGAAGGCCCAGACAGCCAGGAUGUUGGCUUAGAAGCAGCCAUCAUUUAAAGAAAGCGUAAUAGCUCACUGGUCGAGUCGGCCUGCGCGGAAGAUGUAACGGGGCUAAACCAUGCACCGAAGCUGCGGCAGCGACACUGUGUGUUGUUGGGUAGGGGAGCGUUCUGUAAGCCUGUGAAGGUGUGUCGUGAGGCAUGCUGGAGGUAUCAGAAGUGCGAAUGCUGACAUAAGUAACGAUAAAGCGGGUGAAAAGCCCGCUCGCCGGAAGACCAAGGGUUCCUGUCCAACGUUAAUCGGGGCAGGGUGAGUCGACCCCUAAGGCGAGGCCGAAAGGCGUAGUCGAUGGGAAACGGGUUAAUAUUCCCGUACUUGGUGUUACUGCGAAGGGGGGACGGAGAAGGCUAUGUUGGCCGGGCGACGGUUGUCCCGGUUUAAGCGUGUAGGUGUGUGUUCCAGGUAAAUCCGGUUCACUUUAACACUGAGGCGUGACGACGAGGCACUACGGUGCUGAAGCAACAAAUGCCCUGCUUCCAGGAAAAGCCUCUAAGCAUCAGGUAACAUCAAAUCGUACCCCAAACCGACACAGGUGGUCAGGUAGAGAAUACCAAGGCGCUUGAGAGAACUCGGGUGAAGGAACUAGGCAAAAUGGUGCCGUAACUUCGGGAGAAGGCACGCUGACACGUAGGUGAAGUGAUUUACUCAUGGAGCUGAAGUCAGUCGAAGAUACCAGCUGGCUGCAACUGUUUAUUAAAAACACAGCACUGUGCAAACACGAAAGUGGACGUAUACGGUGUGACGCCUGCCCGGUGCCGGAAGGUUAAUUGAUGGGGUCAGCGCAAGCGAAGCUCCUGAUCGAAGCCCCGGUAAACGGCGGCCGUAACUAUAACGGUCCUAAGGUAGCGAAAUUCCUUGUCGGGUAAGUUCCGACCUGCACGAAUGGCGUAAUGAUGGCCAGGCUGUCUCCACCCGAGACUCAGUGAAAUUGAACUCGCUGUGAAGAUGCAGUGUACCCGCGGCAAGACGGAAAGACCCCGUGAACCUUUACUAUAGCUUGACACUGAACAUUGAGCCUUGAUGUGUAGGAUAGGUGGGAGGCUUUGAAGUGUGGACGCCAGUCUGCAUGGAGCCGACCUUGAAAUACCACCCUUUAAUGUUUGAUGUUCUAACGUGGACCCGUUACCCGGGUUGCGGACAGUGUCUGGUGGGUAGUUUGACUGGGGCGGUCUCCUCCUAAAGAGUAACGGAGGAGCACGAAGGUUGGCUAAUCCUGGUCGGACAUCAGGAGGUUAGUGCAAUGGCAUAAGCCAGCUUGACUGCGAGCGUGACGGCGCGAGCAGGUGCGAAAGCAGGUCAUAGUGAUCCGGUGGUUCUGAAUGGAAGGGCCAUCGCUCAACGGAUAAAAGGUACUCCGGGGAUAACAGGCUGAUACCGCCCAAGAGUUCAUAUCGACGGCGGUGUUUGGCACCUCGAUGUCGGCUCAUCACAUCCUGGGGCUGAAGUAGGUCCCAAGGGUAUGGCUGUUCGCCAUUUAAAGUGGUACGCGAGCUGGGUUUAGAACGUCGUGAGACAGUUCGGUCCCUAUCUGCCGUGGGCGCUGGAGAACUGAGGGGGGCUGCUCCUAGUACGAGAGGACCGGAGUGGACGCAUCACUGGUGUUCGGGUUGUCAUGCCAAUGGCACUGCCCGGUAGCUAAAUGCGGAAGAGAUAAGUGCUGAAAGCAUCUAAGCACGAAACUUGCCCCGAGAUGAGUUCUCCCUGAGACUUAGAGUCUCCUGAAGGAACGUUGAAGACGACGACGUUGAUAGGCCGGGUGUGUAAGCGCAGCGAUGCGUUGAGCUAACCGGUACUAAUGAACCGUGAGGCUUAACCUUACAACGCCGAAG